rnacentral:misc_RNA from 1 species
UUCCUGUGCUGCGUACCUGUCCCGACGGUAAUUGUUAGCCGCGUUGCUUAYUUUCCUAUUGCGCUCCUACGGGACGCGGUACGGACAUCUUGGCCCCUCGCGUGUUCCUUUAUGAAAAGCCAUUUUUGGCUAGGUCCCUUGGCCCAUGCUCGGUUUGGUGGUGCUCUCGGAUUUUGAAAAUUAAUCAGGCAAAAAGGGUUCGAAACCCCUCAUGAUACGCCCCGUCCCUGCGCUAGUCGCUCGAAUCGAUAGACGUGGCGAAAUGCAUCGACGUUUCGGGAACCUCGGCUCCCGUAAUGGGCGUGCAUUGUCGCCGUCGUCUCGAGGAAGGCUACCUGGUUGAUCCUGCCAGUAGUCAUAUGCUUGUCUCAAAGAUUAAGCCAUGCAUGUCUAAGUAUGAACUAAUUCAGACUGUGAAACUGCGAAUGGCUC